rnacentral:lncRNA from 1 species
AGCGGGGCCGGGAAGAUGGUGGUGUGGCCGUGAGUGAGGUUGAUGCAGGCACAGUAUGGAUCGGACUUGUGAAUUAUCUAGAAGAAAUUGUCUGCUGUCCUUUUCUAAUCCGGUGAAUUUAGAUGCCUCCGAAGACAAGGACAGCCCUUUCGGAUGAUCCAGACUCCAGUCCCAGUCCAUUAGGAAACAUGCUAGAAAUACCUGGAACUUCAUCACCAUCCACUUCACAGGAAUUGCCAUUUGUAAGCAGCUUUUGGUACAACUUAAAUAUAUACUUGAAUGUAUAUAUAUAGGCCACGUAAAGGGAAACUUUAAUUUGUCUUUGGUUCCAGUUUGUAGGUGGAAGCUAACGAUGAGAUUUUUUUAGGGAAAUUUUACUUUGAUUUUUAAACCAUAUCUCUGAUGUGUGAGUUCAGUUCUUUAUAGUUUACCCCAGAUUGCUUCAUUGAGGCUUGGCUAAGUUAAUGCUCUAAGGGUGUCUGACUGAGGUCAGGUUUACAUUUUCAAGAUACAGGUAGGUAUACAUUCGUUUCACUUUUAAAAACAACAAAACAACAACAACAAAACUAAGAACUUACGGUCUACUGAUGCCUUAGCAGGGGACCAGUGUGUGGCUUGGAGUCCUGUUUCUGCAUAAAGCGUGGGCCAAACUUCCUGCAAGUUGAAGUGCAUUUUGGGCAUAAAUUUAACUUCACUCAGAUGGGAAAUUUUCAUGGCCAGUGCUCAAAAUUUAAGUUAGGUUAGUUUUUUUCUGAACUACUUGUAAAGUGGCAGUGGUCUACUCCUUUGAUGGCUGCCACCACUAAAUUAGGCUUGAUAAGCUUUCCCAGUUGUAAAACUUGAAGUGUGUCUGUAGAUAUACGUCUUGUGUGCAAGCAUGCAGGAACGUAUAGAGCUGGAGAGGAAUGGCUGAGGCCCUCAGUGCUCUGCAGUAGUCCUGGAGGGCCAUCCUUCCUGAGGUCUUACUUUCUAGAACUUGGAAUUUCUUGACUAGUUAAUAGCCAGUUCAUCUUUUGAGCCCCAGUUUUAUGACGUCUAAAAAUUAAAAGUGCUUGAUUUCUGAAAAACCAUAAUUAAUUUUACAUAUUUGGUUCUGAUUUUGUUUCGAUUCUGACACUAAAUUGUCAUGAUUACUAUUAAUGUCACCAAAGAAGAUUAUGUUUUUGUUUAGAGUCAACAGAUGCCUGAAAACACAACAUGACAAGUUUUUAUAGUACAUAGAUGAUUGUUUUGAGGACAUUAAAGUUUUAUUUUACUUUAUACUUCUGUCAAUCUCUAAAGCUGCAAAGAAAGAAUGUGGGUGUGUCACCUUUGUUUCUGUUGAUUGAUAUCAGCUAUGGUUUCUUAGCUUGACAGUUACAGAUUUUUAAAAAUUGCUGUGGUGGAUAUCUCAAAUUUGUGUUGUAUUGUUUUGGAUGUAUAUUAGAAUUUGUAGUUUUAUUUUGAAAACCUACUGACAGCUCAUAGCUUUUUCGGGUUUUUGAUAUUUAUUGUCUAUGUGUAUAGUUUUGUCUUCUCUUUCACAUGUACGUUGGAUGUGAGGGUAGAGCUGGAUUCCGUAGAAGUGUGCAGUAGACGUGUAACCCUGCAUAGCUCUCAUCAGGUACAUGCAGUCCCUCUCGUAUUGGUCUUGUUAACUGCUAGAGAGCUGAGCACAGUGGUUCACACAUAUAGUCUCCACACUCUGGAGGGUGCAUACUCUUGAGUUUGUGUGACUUCAAAGUCCCCCAGUCUACAGAGGGAGACUUUCUCAAAAACCAACCUCCCACC